rnacentral:rRNA from 1 species
GUGAACGCUGGCGGCGUGCCUAACACAUGCAAGUCGAACGAUGAUAGAGAGCUUGCUCUCUUGAUUAGUGGCGCACGGGUGAGUAUACCAUAGAUAAUGUACCUCUUAGUUCGGGAUAGCCACUGGAAACGGUGAUUAAUAUCGGAUACUCCUCCUUACUCUAAGGUAAGUCGGGAAAGUUUUUUCGCUAAGAGAUCAGUCUAUGUCCUAUCAGCUAGUUGGUGAGGUAAUGGCUCACCAAGGCUAUGACGGGUAUCUGGUUUGAGAGGAUGAUCAGACACACUGGAGCUGAGACACGGUCGAGACUCCUACGGGAGGCAGGAGUGAGGAAUAUUGCACAGUGGAGGAAACUCUGAUGCAGCAACGGCGGGUGGGGGAUGACGCAUUUCGGUGUGUAAACUCCUUUUAAGAGGGAAGAUAAUGACGGUACCUCUUGAAUAAGCACCGGCUAACUCCGU